UGUGCACACUUCACCAUGUUUGGUAUUGCCUUUCCCGUCACCAGAAAUAACAAGUGACUAUGUCUAGAGAGUGAUUCCCCUCCUUCUCCCUCCCAAACAAACAUUCUUGUUCCUGAAUGGGAGGAAUGAAAGUUGCAAACUUGUAAAUUAUUUUUGAAUGAGGGUUCAGUUUGAAACUGAUCUUUUAAAACAAAGCCUUAAAGGGAUGUUGUUGGAGAUAGGCAAGGUUAUUCGUAAGUUCAUGGAAAUUUGCAGGAAAUAAUAGGAAAGAAAAACUUUGUAAAACAAUAGCAAUGAGGGGAUACUGGUUUCAAAAUAGAUGAGAAUACUCUUUCUCAUAGAUAUAUAAAUGCUUUUUAAAAAUACCGAUAGUUAAAGUGAUUAUGCAGAAUUUAUCAUUAUGAAAAUAAUGGGUAAAGAAUUCAUUGAGAGUUUACAGCUGAAGCCCUGGCAGGUGUUGUACAAGUGCCCCAAGUGCUGCAGCAUCAAGCCCACCUGGGCCCACCACUGCAGUGUUUGUAAGUGGUGCAUUUGGAAGAUGGACCACCACUGUCCCUGGGUUAGCAACUGUGUUGGCAAGAACGACCACAAGUACUUUUUCCUGUUUGCAAUGUACAUAGCUUUCAUCAACUUGCAUGUUCUCACCGUGGUGGGAUUCUACUUCCUACAUUGCUUUAAAGAAGAUUGGACAAAGUGCAAAUCCUUCUCUCUAUCCACCAUGGUGAUCCUCCUCAUCCAGCUGUACUUUGAGGGGCUUCUCUUUCUCAUAUUCACAUCAGUGAUGUUUGGGACCCAGGUACACUCCAUCUGCACGGAUGAGACCGGAAUAGAACAAUUGAAAAAAGAAGAGAGAAGAUGGGCUAAAAUAACAAAAUGGAUGAACAUGAAUGCCGUUUUUGGCCACCCCUUCUCCCUAAGCUGGUAAAACCCCUUUGCUAUGCAAGACCAAGGGAAGGCAGACCCAUACUAG